CCCAACCUCUCACCACGAGGUGCCGGAAGCUGGGAGAUGCCGAACUAUCCUGCCGCGCUGCCAAGCGUCGACCGCAGAAGGCACCUGCCAACUACCCACCGCUACCCUUUUGGGUGUGGGGCAGUUUACAGACGAGGCUCCGUUGAGAAGCAAUUGCGGUGCAAGCUUUCCCUGACCGUGUGGCAAGCAUUGCCACUGCCAGCGCGCCGGCCAACCUGCACAUGAAAUGCGUCUUUUUCUCUUUUCUUCCUUUUCCUGCAGACCAUCCCUGGUCGACCCACCUGCCUGAAUUGGUCAACACAUGAAUGUACUGACAUGGAGACCUUGUCAAGACUCCAGGAUUAGACUUCCAAGAAAGGAAAGAACCACAAAGUGAUGAGGAAAUCAUAACCUGCGUAUUUGGAAGACUCAUUUUGUGCCAUCUGAGGCAAGUCCUGUGGAGAUGGUGUGAAAAAGAACAAAUGUGGUUUUGUCAAAAGUGGCUCCCACUGUUGUAUUAUAUAUUCAAAUGAACUCUUUUCAAAAGAGGGAUAAUAUGAUUGAUGUGCUCCCUUACAAUACAUGAAUCAGUUCAUUUAACUGUAUUUGUGAUUAGUGAGGAACUAUGUUUCAUGUACCUGAAAUAUUUCACUGGUGGUCGCAUGGGCUAAGGUUAAAAUUCAUCCAACCAUCUAUCCAUCCAUUUUCUUUACCGCUUAUCCUCACUAGGGUUGCGGGCUGCUGGAGCCUGUCCCAGCUAUCUUCGGGUGGGAGGCGGGGUACACCCUGAACCGGUCGCCAGCCAAUCGCAGGGCAGGCGGAAAUACAACCCAUCAAAUUUUGGCAUUGAUCCAGAUAAUGGUACAAAUCCAAAAUGACUGCAAUCCAGUAAAAUGAUAAGGGUAAAGUUGUGAUUUUCCAAGCAGUUGGAAGAAAAAAGAUAACAUUUUAACGAGUAAAUGUCGAAAUUCCCACACAAACAGCAUCCACUAGCUCUCACUCUGUCUCUCUAGAGCAGGGUUGUCAAACUCAUUUUUGCUGCGGGCCACAUCGUAGUUAUGGUUUCCCUCGGAGGGCCGUCAUGAGGGCGAACACAUAUACAGUAAAUGUACAAUUGCCUCAUGUUAUUACAUAUACACACACAAAUCGAUGAAUAACUAUAUUUGAAACCAGAAGCCAGUAAAAAGUUGUUAAUUCAGUUUAUUUUGAAAUGAGGAUUAGUUACAAAAAUGUUUGCAAUCAACGUUAUAUAAAAGGGAAGACGAUUUGCAAUGUUGUUAUUUUAGCAAGAAACGUGAAGUCGACGCACUUGAUUUGCUUUUGCGGGCCACAUAAAUUGAUGUGGCGGGCCGGAUGUGGCCAAAUUUGAACAAUGACAUAAGCAUAAGAUGAUAAGGGGGGAAAUACUUGUGCAAUUUGCAUUUGUAACCUUUUGUGUAAUAUUUUUUUGAGUAUCAGUGAAUCUCCUGUAAAUUGGCAAGUUCAUUUCAAGUCAAGGGUUCUGCUGUGGCUCUUGAUACUUCUUGAAACGGAGCAGAUAUGUGAUUUCGGCCAUGCAAGCAAUAAAAACCUUAUGUGUGUGUCUUCUCUCUUUCAUCUUAUUACACAUUCACUUUGAUAUUUUCCAAUGUGUGAGACUGCUGGCAGAAAGUAAUAACAAAAGAUGUUUUGUAACAUUCUCACAAAUCCAAUUCAAGGUUGCACACAACUGACAUUUGAUUCACAGCAGACUGUGUGUAGUUGAGGAGCCUAACAGGGAGAGAGUUAUAACAGGCAAGUCGCAUUAGACCAAUUAAUACAGUAGAAAUGUUUGUAUUUGAAACCUGCUUCA